AGGAGUCUUCUCCUGACCAGCCCGAUGUGCUGGACAGAGGGAAGGUCUAAAAGAUCCACGUUAGUUAAUCUGUAAACCUCAGUCAGAUCAUCCUGCAUCCCAGGGUUAGUGGUAAGGUUCAGUAAAAAACUGUGUAAACCCUGAGCAUAAUGUAUUGCCAUCUAACUGAACUGGUGACUUAUGCUGGAUUCACAAAAUCUGACUACCUCAAUAACUGAUAAAACAGCGAAGAAAGCACACAAGCACACAAAAAUACCUUUUCAAAAUCCGGGAUGGCUCUCGACAUUAGGAGUCAGUUGAAAAGAGAGAGAGCGAGCUACCUGAACUCUUUAUUCUUUCAUACGGAGGACACACAAAGGGAAGUUAAUGGAAUGUUUUUCCAAAUAAGGCAAAGGGUCAGGUUUCAGAGGGUUGAGUCUAGCUUCAUGAUGUCUGGUGGUCAGUAGACUGAUUGACAUCUUGGCAAGUCACACCCACAUCUCAGGUGCUGUGUGGGAUCAAAAGGCACAGCUAGCGAAAAGGACACAGACUUGCACUGUUCAGACAGAACAACAACAUCAGUCCAGUCCACUUGUGCUCUCAAAAUGCUCACAGCUCACACACAGCCCAUGGCUGGUCCGCGACAAUAAUGUCUUGCAGGUAAUAGACACUCUACUAACAUUGUUUCUACAUAGUUCUCUUUGUGCUUCCAGGAAAAUCUGUGGGACAUCCCCCCCUCCAAAAAAAAAUUCUCAUUCUCACUGUAAAACAGUGUUUGGGGAAAAAUGGAAACAUCUGUAUAGAUUUCUAUAACACUAUGUAACUGAAUAACAAACAUCAUAAUGACUCCAAUACUCACCUUCUUGUGCUGGGAAAGAAGGCUUUAUUUAAGCACACAUGUAAAGUAUAUUUAGCUUUUAUGACUAAGAAUUCCAUUGUGGCCAGUGUGGCUUGUGGGAUUUUUGUUUUGUUGCCUACUGAAAGCUUUUCUUUCAAGUUGAAGCCAGCCUUACUUAGCAAAUCAUUUUGCCAAGGAACACACUACAGGAUUUUAACUUUGACCAAACACACUUCCCAUAUGUGAAGAAUAUAAAUGUGGCAUUCUAAGAAGCCACAGGGAACAAAAGCUGGGGAAGGGAGAUGGGGAAGAAAACACAAGAAGGACAAAAUGGUGUGACGUGCUACAGAUGUAUAGUAAACAAUAUGACCCAAUGCUGGAGUUAGCCAGUCUAGAUGAGGCAUCUGGAAGGGAUGCCCCCUCUCAAGGACUCCAGAUCAAGCAGUUGGUCUUUAUAUUCAGAGCAUGGUUCCAUUGUUGCCAGGUGAAUUAAGGAAUAUAAGUCUCAAAGACAUCCCUGGAAACUUCCAUCUUUUACUAGGUCCAAGUCAGCAGGCAAGGGUAGCAAGCUGGGAUUCUGCUUUAAUAAUAACAGGGUCUGCUAUUUCUCACUGCCCUGAGGAUAAUCAAGUCAUUCUGGUUCACUUAGUCCCUUGGCCACUGGCCUGUGAGCUGUUGGAGGACACAGACUCUCUUAGGACCUUGUUCCCUGCACUUAAACAGUUCUUGAUUCACAAUGGGUGCUCGACAAGUGAACACAUACACAAACACAAGAUAUUUUUCUGCAAAAAGAAUCCCAGAAGUAAAAAAUAUCAAGGAGCUCUCACUUUCAGGUCAAACAAUCUCUGGUAUGUGUUAAUGUGCCUUCAUUUAACCAACCGUCAAAAACUUUAAAAUGUGAUUUGGUCACUUAGGGUUACAAAAAUCAUGCCUUGUAUCUAAUGUCUUGCUUUUGGUUUUUUUAUUGCCUACGUUAGUUACACACAUGAUAAACACACUCAUUUUGGUUUGGUUUGUAGCUCAAGCUCAGAAAUUCUUUGCAAAUUUGCAAUGCUGUUAC
rnacentral:lncRNA from 1 species